CUGCUGCCUUCCGUAGGAGUUUGGACCGUGUCUCAGUUCCAAUGUGGGGGACCUUCCUCUCAGAACCCCUAUCCAUCGAUGCCUUGGUGGGCCGUUACCCCGCCAACAAGCUAAUGGAACGCAUCCCCAUCGAUGACCGAAAUUCUUUAAUAGUUCUACCAUGCGGAAGAACUAUGCCAUCGGGUAUUAAUCUUUCUUUCGAAAGGCUAUCCCCGAGUCAUCGGCAGGUUGGAUACGUGUUACUCACCGUGCGCCGGUCGCA
rnacentral:rRNA from 1 species